GGGCUCCGAUUGCCAGCGGCAGAGAAAGGGGAAGGGAGGCGCGUGCGCGUUCCUGGGCCGCGCGUGGGCCGGGGCGAGGGGGAAGAGGGGUGACACGCCGUUGGGUCAGAGGCUGGAGUUUUUUUUUCUUUUUGUCUUUCUUUUCCGAAGCUUUUCCAAAAGGGAUUUUAAAUCAUUCUUAGAGAUCGAACAAAACGUACACACAGUAUAAAAUUAAAUAUGCUUCGGCAUGAAUGCAUAAACAUGUUUCUAAGC
rnacentral:lncRNA from 1 species